UACGAAGGGGGCUAGCGUUGCUCGGAAUCACUGGGCGUAAAGCGCACGUAGGCGGAUCUUUAAGUCAGGGGUGAAAUCCUGGAGCUCAACUCCAGAACUGCCUUUGAUACUGGGGAUCUCGAGUCCGGAAGAGGUGAGUGGAACUCCGAGUGUAGAGGUGAAAUUCGUAGAUAUUCGGAAGAACACCAGUGGCGAAGGCGGCUCACUGGUCCGGUACUGACGCUGAGGUGCGAAAGCGCGGGGAGCAAACAGG
rnacentral:rRNA from 1 species